UACGUAGGGUGCGAGCGUUGUCCGGAAUUACUGGGCGUAAAGAGCUCGUAGGUGGUUUGUCGCGUUGUCCGUGAAAACUCACAACUCAAUUGUGGGCGUGCGGGCGAUACGGGCAGACUGGAGUACUGCAGGGGAGACUGGAAUUCCUGGUGUAGCGGUGGAAUGCGCAGAUAUCAGGAGGAACACCGGUGGCGAAGGCAGGGCUCUGGGCAGUAACUGACGCUGAGGAGCGAAAGCGUGGGGAGCGAACAGG
rnacentral:rRNA from 1 species